rnacentral:rRNA from 1 species
UACGAAGGGGGCUAGCGUUGCUCGGAAUCACUGGGCGUAAAGCGCACGUAGGCGGAUUGUUAAGUCAGGGGUGAAAUCCUGGAGCUCAACUCCAGAACUGCCUUUGAUACUGGCGAUCUCGAGUCCGGGAGAGGUGAGUGGAACUGCGAGUGUAGAGGUGAAAUUCGUAGAUAUUCGCAAGAACACCAGUGGCGAAGGCGGCUCACUGGCCCGGUACUGACGCUGAUGCACGAAAGCGUGGGGAGCAAACAGG